GAUGAACGCUAGCGGGAGGCCUAACACAUGCAAGCCGAGCGGUAUUGUUUCUUCGGAAAUGAGAGAGCGGCGUACGGGUGCGUAACACGUGUGCAACCUGCCUUUAUCUGGGGGAUAGCCUUUCGAAAGGAAGAUUAAUACUCCAUAAUAUAUUGAACGGCAUCGUUUAAUAUUGAAAGCUCCGGCGGAUAGAGAUGGGCACGCGCAAGAUUAGCUAGUUGGUGAGGUAACGGCUCACCAAGGCGAUGAUCUUUAGGGGGCCUGAGAGGGUGAUCCCCCACACUGGUACUGAGACACGGACCAGACUCCUACGGGAGGCAGCAGUGAGGAAUAUUGGUCAAUGGGUGCAAGCCUGAACCAGCCAUCCCGCGUGAAGGACGACUGCCCUAUGGGUUGUAAACUUCUUUUGUAUAGGGAUAAACCUACCCUCGUGAGGGUAGCUGAAGGUACUAUACGAAUAAGCACCGGCUAACUCCGUGCCAGCAGCCGCCGUAACAC
rnacentral:rRNA from 1 species